CUGCGGCAGCGACACUGUGUGUUGUUGGGUAGGGGAGCGUUCUGUAAGCCUGUGAAGGUGGCCUGUGAGGGUUGCUGGAGGUAUCAGAAGUGCGAAUGCUGACAUAAGUAACGAUAAAGCGGGUGAAAAGCCCGCUCGCCGGAAGACCAAGGGUUCCUGUCCAACGUUAAUCGGGGCAGGGUGAGUCGACCCCUAAGGCGAGGCCGAAAGGCGUAGUCGAUGGGAAACGGGUUAAUAUUCCCGUACUUGGUGUUACUGCGAAGGGGGGACGGAGAAGGCUAUGUUGGCCGGGCGACGGUUGUCCCGGUUUAAGCGUGUAGGUGUGUGUUCCAGGUAAAUCCGGUU
rnacentral:rRNA from 1 species